ACGCCUUAUACAUGCAAGUCGAACGCAGUAGCAAUACUGAGUGGCAGACGGGUGAGUAUGAUGUGGGAAUCUGCCUUUUGGUUUGGAAUAACUCGGGGAAACUUGAGCUAAUACUGGAUAAGCCCUCACGGGGAAAGCUUUAUGCGCCAAAAGAUGAGCCCGCACUUGAUUAGCUAGUUGGUGAGGUAAAAGCUCACCAAGGCAACGAUCAAUAGCUGUUCUUAGAGGAAGACCAGCCACAUUGGGACUGAGACACGGCCCAGACUCCUACGGGAGGCAGCAGUAAGGAAUCUUGCACAAUGGAGGAAACUCUGAUGCAGCGAUGCCGCGUGAGUGAAGAAGGCCUUUGGGUUGUAAAACUCUUUCGUUGGGGAAGAAAAUGACUGUACCCAAAUAAGAAGGUCCGGCUAACUUCGUGCCAGCAGCCGCGGUAAUACGAAGGGACCUAGCGUAGUUCGGAAUUACUGGGCUUAAAGAGCUCGUAGGUGGUUGAAAAAGUUGAUGGUGAAAUCCCAAGGCUCAACCUUGGAACUGCCAUCAAAACUUUUUAGCUAGAGUGUGAUAGAGGAAAGUGGAAUUUCUAGUGUAGAGGUGAAAUUCGUAGAUAUUAGAAAGAACAUCAAAAGCGAAGGCAACUUUCUGGAUCACUACUGACACUGAGGAGCGAAAGCAUGGGUAGCGAAGAGGAUUAGAUACCCUCGUAGUCCAUGCUGUAAACGAUGUGUGCUAGACGUUGGAAAUUUAAUUUUCAGUGUCGCAGCAAAAGCGUUAAGCACACCGCCUGGGGAGUAC
rnacentral:rRNA from 1 species